CGGCAAUAAAAUAAUAUUAAGAGAGGCUAAUCAAACAAACAAUACAUAUACAUUUGGAAUAGGCUAGUACAUGUUGCUACUAAAACUAGUCAUUGACUUAAUGGAAAGUAGGCUAAACUAACAUAGUAAAACAGGCAUAGACACAUGAUACAGUUACCACUCCAUUGAUCGUCAGCUGAGAGUAAGAGAGAGGGUGUGUAUAGUAGGGAGAGAGGAGAGAGUGAGUGAGGAGGGUGAAUUCAAAGAGUGAAAAUGUUCUAUUCACAGGGCUUUAACCCCUUAAGGAACAAACUUCUCGAAUAAAAGGGAAUCAUAACAUGUCACACAUGUCAUAUGUCCUUAAGGGGUUAAACAGGUUAGCCCAUCCUGCUGCUGGACACAGCUCCCUCAGUCAAUCCCUUAGGAUGUAACAGAACCAGAGUGCCUCCUGGAGGAAGGGGUAUUGCAUUGGAAGGGAAUGGAGGAGGAGUUUAUCAAUAACCCAACUGAUUUUGCCUGGUGAAAGGCCAUGUGCUUCACAGAGGACUCUAUUAUUGCCUAAGGGUAGAAUGGGGCUUGAAUCCCUGUAUUAAAACACAAUAACACUUCACUGGCAUACAGAUUGACUGUUAAUCACAUCCCCCCACUUAUUACAGAGUGCUAGUUGCUUGUUCAGCGGGGAAGCUGCAUGUCUUAAGCACUACCAGGGAGCCUUCAGAGAGCUGACCGGGAUAACCCCCGCUGGUCCAAAAACAGGGGGUGGGGGGAGGGAGGGAAUAGGGCACCG